UAUAAUGAGGGUUUGAUCCUGGCCCAGGAUGAACGCUGGCGGCGUGGAUAAGGCAUGCAAGUCGAACGAACCCUUCGGGGUUAGUGGCGAACGAG
rnacentral:ncRNA from 1 species